AUUGAACGCUGGCGGAAUGCUUUACACAUGCAAGUCGAACGGUAGAGGGGGCAACCCCUCGAGAGUGGCGAACGGGUGAGUAAUAUAUCGGAACGUGCCCAGUCGUGGGGGAUAACGUAGCGAAAGUUACGCUAAUACCGCAUACGAUCUAAGGAUGAAAGCGGGGGAUCUCAAGACCUCGCGCGCUUCGAGCGGCCGAUGUCAGAUUAGGUAGUUGGGGGGAUAAAGGCUCACCAAGCCACCGAUCUGUAGCUGGUCUGUGCGGACGACCAGCCACACUGGGACUGAGACACGGCCCAGACUCCUACGGGAGGCAGCAGUGGGGAAUUUUGGACAAUGGGCGAAAGCCUGAUCCAGCAAUGCCGCGUGCAGGAUGAAGGCCUUCGGGUUGUAAACUGCUUUUGUACGGAACGAAAAGCCCCGGGUUAAUACCCUGGGGUCAUGACGGUACCGUAAGAAUAAGCACCGGCUAACUACGUGCCAGCCGCCGCGGUAA
rnacentral:rRNA from 1 species